AGCAGCCGCGGUAAUUCCAGCUCCAAUAGCGUAUAUUAAAGUUGUUGCAGUUAAAAAGCUCGUAGUUGAAUUUCGGGAUUAAUAUGUCGGUCGUACUUUGUACGUACUAGCAUUAUUGGUUUCUCCCUUCUGACGAACCACGAUGUCAUUAAUUUGGUGUCGCGGGAAAUCAGGACUGUUACUUUGAAAAAAUUAGAGUGUUUAAAGCAGGCUCACGCUUGAAUACAUUAGCAUGGAAUAACGAAAUAGGACGUUUGAUUCUACUUUGUUGGUUUCUAGGAUCGACGUAAUGAUUAAUAGGGAUAGUUGGGGGCAUUAGUAUUCAAUUGUCAGAGGUGAAAUUCUUGGAUUUAUUGAAGACUAACUACUGCGAAAGCAUUUGCCAAGGAUGUUUUCAUUAAUCAAGAACGAAAGUUAGGGGAUCGAAGACGAUCAGAUACCGUCGUAGUC
rnacentral:rRNA from 1 species